rnacentral:rRNA from 1 species
CAGCAGCCGCGGUAAUACGUAGGGUGCAAGCGUUAAUCGGAAUUACUGGGCGUAAAGCGUGCGCAGGCGGUUUGUUAAGACAGAUGUGAAAUCCCCGGGCUCAACCUGGGAACUGCAUUUGUGACUGGCAAGCUAGAGUGUGGCAGAGGGGGGUGGAAUUCCGCGUGUAGCAGUGAAAUGCGUAGAUAUGCGGAGGAACACCGAUGGCGAAGGCAGCCCCCUGGGCCAAUACUGACGCUCAUGCACGAAAGCGUGGGGAGCAAACAGGAUUAGAUACCCCCGUAGUCCCUGUCUCUUAUAC